CCUACGGGUGGCUGCAGUGGGGAAUAUUGGACAAUGGGCGAAAGCCUGAUCCAGCCAUGCCGCGUGUGCGAAGAAGGCCUUCGGGUUGUAAAGCACUUUCAGUGGGGAAGAAAGCCUUGGGGCUAAUACCCUCGAGGAAGGACAUCACCCACAGAAGAAGCACCGGCUAACUCCGUGCCAGCAGCCGCGGUAAUACGGAGGGUGCGAGCGUUAAUCGGAAUUACUGGGCGUAAAGCGCGCGUAGGCGGUCUGAUAAGCCGGUUGUGAAAGCCCCGGGCUCAACCUAGGAACGGCAUCCGGAACUGUCAGGCUAGAGUGCAGGAGAGGAAGGUAGAAUUCCCGGUGUAGCGGUGAAAUGCGUAGAGAUCGGGAGGAAUACCAGUGGCGAAGGCGGCCUUCUGGACUGACACUGACGCUGAGGUGCGAAAGCGUGGGUAGCAAACAGGAUUAGAUACCCGAGUAGUC
rnacentral:rRNA from 1 species